rnacentral:lncRNA from 1 species
AAAUAAAAUAUAAAAAGAAAAGAAAAAGAAAGAAAAAUGGGGCUAGCAAAGUUGUUAGGAGCUAAGUAAUGUUUUGAGGUUGUGGAAAAUCCCUUGUAGAUUUUAAAGAGAAGGAGUUAAAGUUCUCAGGAUCUUUUGGUGAGAGAUGUGAGUUGGGUUUGACAUUUGAGAAUGAUUGUGUAAUUGUAUGAUUGGGAAAAUGGUAGAACAAUGGAGAUUUAGCAUUGUAUGCAUGAGUUGAUCCAUUUCUUAGAUAUAUUAUGUGCAAUGUCAAGGCUACUUGUUUUGAGAGUAAACCACUUUAAAAGAUCAUGGAUUUUGAACCUUUUGACCCACUUGA